rnacentral:lncRNA from 10 species
UUCCUAUAGCAACCAGCGGGACCUGCCGUCCCCCGGGGCACCCCGAGGGGUCUGCGCCCGCUUCUUUCCGAAACGGGAAGGCGCUGGGGGCUCGGCAGCCAGAGGGACGGGUUCAGGGAGCGUCCGGUGUGCGCGGCGCUCGCAAGUGGUCAGCAUAACGCCGGGCGAAUUCGGAAAGCCCGUGCGUCCGUGGACGACCCACUUGGAAGGAGUUGGGAGAAGUCCUUGUUCCCACGCGCGGACGCUUCCCUCCGUGUGUCCUUCGAGCCACAAAAAGCCCAGACCCUAACCCGCUCCUUUCUCCCGCCGCGUCCAUGCAGAACUCCGCCGUUCCUGGGAGGGGAAGCCCGCGAGGCGUCGGGAGAGGCACGUCCUCCGUGAGCAAAGAGCUCCUCCGAGCGCGCGGCGGGGACGCUGGGCCGACAGGGGACCGCGGGGGCAGGGCGGAGAGGACCCGCCCUCGAGUCGGCCCAGCCCUAACACUCAGGACCGCCUCCAGCCGGAGGUCUGCGCCCUUCUGAGGACCCUGCCUGGGGGAGCUUAUUGCGGUUCUUUUGCAAAUACCCGCUGCGCUUGGACGGAGGAAGCGCCCACGCGUCGACCCCGGAAACGAAGGCCUCCCUGAUGGGAACGCAUGCGUCCAGGAGCCUUUAUUUACUCUUAAUUCUGCCCGAUGCUUGUACGUGUGUGAAAUGCUUCAGAUGCUUUUGGGAGCGAGGUGUUACAUAAAUCAUGGAAAUGCCUCCUGGUCUCACCACACCCAGGGUGACAGCUGAGAUGCGGCUUCUCCAGGGUGGAGCCUCCUCGUUUUCCAGAGCUGCUUGUUGAAGUCUUCCCAGGGCCCCUGACUUGCACUGGAAACUGCUCACCUUGGCAUCGGGAUGUGGAGCAAGAAAUGCUUUUGUUUUCAUUCAUCCUAGUGUUCAUAAAAUGGAAAACAAAUAAGGACAUACAAAAACAUUAAUAAAAUAAAUUAAUGGAACUAGAUUUUUCAGAAAGCACAACAAACACAAAAUCCAAGUAUUGCCAUGUCAGCAACACAUUCCUACUUUAAGUUUUAUGAAGUUAAUUGGAGUAGUGGAGAACAAAAGUGGAUGUGGGGCAGAUCUGCGUCCUGCAUGUGUCUUGCAGCCAGACUGUUCCAGCUGUUGCAGACCUCAAAAUAGAGAGGACCCAGGUUUUCUGAUUUUGCCUUCUUUUUUUUUUUUUUAAAUUUAUUAUUGUUAUACUUUAAGUUUUAGGGUACAUGUGCAUGAUGUGCAGGUUAGUUUCAUAUGUAUACAUGUGCCAUGCUGGUGUGCUGCACCCACUAACUCGUCAUCUAGCAUUAGGUAUAUCUCCCAGUGCUAUCCCUCCCCCCUCCC